rnacentral:rRNA from 1 species
UACAGAGGUCUCAAGCGUUGUUCGGAAUUACUGGGCGUAAAGGGCUCGUAGGCGGCCAACUAAGUCGGACGUGAAAUCCCCAGGCUCAACCUGGGAACUGCGUCCGAUACUGGAUGGCUUGAAUUCGGGAGAGGGAUGCAGAAUUCCAGGUGUAGCGGUGAAAUGCGUAGAUAUCUGGAGGAAUACCGGUGGCGAAGGCGGCAUCCUGGACCGACAUUGACGCUGAGGAGCGAAAGCUAGGGGAGCAAACGGG